rnacentral:rRNA from 1 species
AGUGAACGCUGGCGGUAGGCCUAACACAUGCAAGUCGAACGGCAGCACAGUAAGAGCUUGCUCUUACGGGUGGCGAGUGGCGGACGGGUGAGGAAUACAUCGGAAUCUACUUUUUCGUGGGGGAUAACGUAGGGAAACUUACGCUAAUACCGCAUACGACCUACGGGGGAAAGCAGGGGAUCUUCGGACCUUGCGCGAAUGAAUGAGCCGAUGUCGGAUUAGCUAGUUGGCGGGGUAAAGGCCCACCAAGGCGACGAUCCGUAGCUGGUGCGAGAGGAUGAUCAGCCACCUGGGAACUUGGACACGGUCCAGACUCCUACGGGAGGCAGCAGUCGGGAAUAUUGGACAAUGGGCGCAAGCCUGAUCCAGUCAUCCCGCGUGGGUGAAGAAGGCCUUCGGGUUGUAAAGCCCUUUUGUUGGUAAAGAAAAGCAGCAGGUUAAUACCCCGCUGUUCUGACGGUACCCAAAGAAUAAGCACCGGCUAACUUCGUG